rnacentral:rRNA from 1 species
UUGCCAGGGAACUACGAGCUAAGCUUAAAACCCAAAGGACUUGACGGUACCCCAUAUCCCCCUAGAGGAGCCUGUCCUAUAAUCGAUAAUCCACGAUUGACCUCACCAUUUUCUAGUUUAUCAGCUUGUAUACCUCCGUCGUCAGCUUACCACGUGAGCGCUUAACCUAGUGAGCUUAAUGUUAUUUCACCAACACGUCAGGUCAAGGUGCAGUAUAUGUAAUGGAAAGAGAUGGGCUACACUUUCUAUCCUAGAACACACGAAAAACUAAAUAUGAAAUCUAGUUGGAAGGCGGAUUUAGUAGUAAAAAGGAAUUAGAACGUCCAUUUUAACUCGGCACUGGGGUGUGUACACACCGCCCGGUCACCCUCA